rnacentral:rRNA from 1 species
AUUGAACGCUGGCGGCAGGCCUAACACAUGCAAGUCGAACGGUAACAGGAAGCAGCUUGCUGCUUUGCUGACGAGUGGCGGACGGGUGAGUAAUGUCUGGGAAACUGCCUGAUGGAGGGGGAUAACUACUGGAAACGGUAGCUAAUACCGCAUAACGUCGCAAGACCAAAGAGGGGGACCUUCGGGCCUCUUGCCAUCGGAUGUGCCCAGAUGGGAUUAGCUAGUAGGUGGGGUAACGGCUCACCUAGGCGACGAUCCCUAGCUGGUCUGAGAGGAUGACCAGCCACACUGGAACUGAGACACGGUCCAGACUCCUACGGGAGGCAGCAGUGGGGAAUAUUGCACAAUGGGCGCAAGCCUGAUGCAGCCAUGCCGGGUGUAUGAAGAAGGCCUUCGGGUUGUAAAGUACUUUCAGCGGGGAGGAAGGCGAUAAGGUUAAUAACCUUGUCGAUUGACGUUACCCGCAGAAGAAGCACCGGCUGACUCCGUGCCAGCAGCCGCGGUAAUACGGAGGGUGCAAGCGUUAAUCGGAAUUACUGGGCGUAAAGCGCACGCAGGCGGUCUGUCAAGUCGGAUGUGAAAUCCCCGGGCUCAACCUGGGAACUGCAUUCGAAACUGGCAGGCUAGAGUCUUGUAGAGGGGGGUAGAAUUCCAGGUGUAGCGGUGAAAUGCGUAGAGAUCUGGAGGAAUACCGGUGGCGAAGGCGGCCCCCUGGACAAAGACUGACGCUCAGGUGCGAAAGCGUGGGGAGCAAACAGGGUUAGAUACCCUGGUAGUCCACGCCGUAAACGAUGUCGACUUGGAGGUUGUGCCCUUGAGGCGUGGCUUCCGGAGCUAACGCGUUAAGUCGACCGCCUGGGGAGUACGGCCGCAAGGUUAAAACUCAAAUGAAUUGACGGGGGCCCGCACAAGCGGUGGAGCAUGUGGUUUAAUUCGAUGCAACGCGAAGAACCUUACCUACUCUUGACAUCCAGAGAACUUUCCAGAGAUGGAUUGGUGCCUUCGGGAACUCUGAGACAGGUGCUGCAUGGCUGUCGUCAGCUCGUGUUGUGAAAUGUUGGGUUAAGUCCCGCAACGAGCGCAACCCUUAUCCUUUGUUGCCAGCGGUUAGGCCGGGAACUCAAAGGAGACUGCCAGUGAUAAACUGGAGGAAGGUGGGGAUGACGUCAAGUCAUCAUGGCCCUUACGAGUAGGGCUACACACGUGCUACAAUGGCGCAUACAAAGAGAAGCGACCUCGCGAGAGCAAGCGGACCUCAUAAAGUGCGUCGUAGUCCGGAUUGGAGUCUGCAACUCGACUCCAUGAAGUCGGAAUCGCUAGUAAUCGUGGAUCAGAAUGCCACGGUGAAUACGUUCCCGGGCCU